CGUGAUUUUCGGGUUCGUGAUUUUCAGGUUCUUGAUUUUCGGGUUCUUGAUUUUCAAGUUCUUGAUUUUCAGGUUCGUGAUUUUUGGGUUCUUGAUUUUCAAGUUCUUGUUUUUCAGGUUCUUGAUUUUUAGAUUUUAGAUUUUUAGGUUUUAUAUUUUUAGGUUUCUAGCUUUUUAAUUUUUAGAUUUAAUCAAUUUGAAGAUAGUAAAUAGCAAAAAUGGGCCAUUAUAAUAUUCAACAUUAGCUAUAUAGAGCGGCGAUUAAAACACAUACUGCCGACUGCCGUGAUACGAUAUUAUUCAUCGUUUUAAUAGAUAAUUAAUUAUAACUCACUUCUCAUAUAUUCAAGUUUAAUAUUCAAAAGUAAAACUACGGACGUACCGAGGGAUAUCUGGUUGGUGGAUGGAAUCCCCUUCCUUCCGGACUGCACCCCCUCCUCAAAAGUAUUUUCCGGAAAAUGUUGCCGACGGGGGGAGAAGGGGGAGAAGAGGUCGACGUUUUCGUGCGAAAAUAAAACGUCCCAAAAAUAUUUCCCAAACCUUUUUUGGGAUAACCUGAGGGUUAAAAAUACGUUUUCCGAGCUUUUUGGACCUCAAUUUUUCACAGUAUUCCUUAAUGUUUAACACGUUCCGCAACUCCAACAUUUCGG